rnacentral:rRNA from 1 species
GAGUUUGAUCGUGGCUCAGAACGAACGCUGGCGGCAGGCCUAACACAUGCAAGUCGAACGCUCCAGCAAUGGAGAGUGGCAGACGGGUGAGUAACACGUGGGAACCUUUCCUAUGGUUCGGAAUAGCUCAGGGAAACUUGGGGUAAUACCGGAUAAGCCCUUCGGGGAAAGAUUUAUCGCCAUUGGAUGGGCCCGCGUCGGAUUAGCUAGUUGGUGAGGUAACGGCUCACCAAGGCAACGAUCCGUAGCUGGUCUGAGAGGAUGAUCAGCCACAUUGGGACUGAGACACGGCCCAGACUCCUACGGGAGGCAGCAGUGGGGAAUAUUGGACAAUGGGCGCAAGCCUGAUCCAGCCAUGCCGCGUGAGUGACGAAGGUCUUCGGAUUGUAAAACUCUUUUGGCGGGGACGAUAAUGACGGUACCCGCAGAAUAAGCCCCGGCUAACUUCGUGCCAGCCACCGCAGUAAG